UACGUAGGGGGCAAGCGUUGUUCGGAAUUACUGGGCGUAAAGCGUACGUAGGCGGUUAUUCAAGUCAGAGGUGAAAGCCCGGGGCUCAACCCCGGAACUGCCUUUGAAACUAGAUAGCUAGAAUCUUGGAGAGGUCAGUGGAAUUCCGAGUGUAGAGGUGAAAUUCGUAGAUAUUCGGAAGAACACCAGUGGCGAAGGCGACUGACUGGACAAGUAUUGACGCUGAGGUACGAAAGCGUGGGGAGCAAACAGG
rnacentral:rRNA from 1 species